AGCAACGGACGACCGUUGCCUUGAACACCCAUAGCGGGACGGCCCGC
rnacentral:ncRNA from 1 species